AUGGUGGGAUACGGGAUCCAGUCGAUGCUCAAGGAUGGGCACAAGCAUCUCUCGGGCCUCGACGAGGCCGUCCUUAAAAACAUCGGCGCCGGCCGCGAGCUCUCCGCCAUCACCCGCACCUCCCUUGGUCCCAACGGAAUGAAUAAGAUGGUCAUUAAUCAUCUAGACAAGCUCUUUAUCACGAAUGAUGCUGCGACAAUCGUGAACGAGCUUGAUGUCCAGCACCCUGCUGCUAAGCUCCUGGUGCUCGCUGCCAGAGCGCAACAGGAGGAGAUCGGAGAUGGAGCUAAUCUCACCAUAUCUUUCGCCGGUGAACUGCUCGAGAAGGCUGAGGAGCUCAUCAGGAUGGGACUGCAUCCAAGUGAGAUCAUCAUUGGGUACACCAAGGCCAUUAAUAAGACGCUUGAGAUUUUGGAUGAUCUAGUUGAGAAAGGCUCGGAAAAUAUGGAUGUCAGGAACAAGGAAGAGGUCGUGUUGAGGAUGAAAUCUGCUGUUGCAAGCAAGCAAUUUGGCCAGGAGGAUGUGCUGUGUCCACUUGUCGCUGAUGCCUGUAUCCAAGUUUGCCCCCAAAACCCGGCAAACUUUAAUGUUGACAAUGUUAGAGUGGCAAAGCUGGUUGGAGGCGGCCUUCACAAUUCUUCUGUAGUCCGUGGGAUGGUUCUGAAAAAUGACGCUGUCGGGAGCAUAAAAAAAGUGGAGAAAGUGAAGGUUGCGGUAUUUGCUGGUGGUGUUGACACUUCUGCAACUGAAACAAAGGGAACUGUUCUUAUACAUUCUGCUGAGCAGCUUGAAAACUAUGCUAAAACUGAGGAAGCAAAGGUGGAGGAGCUUAUCAAAUCUGUGGCUGAUUCAGGUGCCAAGGUUAUUGUCAGUGGAGCAGCAGUUGGCGAUAUGGCAUUGCAUUUUUGUGAACGUUACAAGCUAAUGGUUCUGAAAGUCAGCUCAAAGUUUGAGCUUCGAAGAUUUUGCCGUACUACUGGGGCUAUAGCACUUUUGAAGCUUAGCCGACCAAAUGUGGAUGAAUUAGGAUAUGCAGACUCUGUUUCGGUGGAAGAAAUUGGCGGUGCUCGAGUGACUGUUGUCAAAAAUGAAGAAGGUGGAAAUUCAGUGGCUACUGUUGUCUUGAGAGGCAGUACAGAUAGUAUAUUAGAUGAUCUUGAAAGAGCUGUGGAUGAUGGCGUAAACACGUACAAGUCAAUGUGCAGGGACAGUCGGAUCAUCCCUGGAGCUGCUGCAACAGAAAUAGAACUGGCAAAGAGAUUGAAGGAGUUUUCUCUGAAGGAAACAGGUCAAUUAUGCAGGUUGGAUCAGUAUGCCAUUGCAAAAUUUGGUGAAAGUUUUGAAAUGGUUCCAAGAACACUGUCUGAAAAUGCCGGACUUGGUGCAAUGGAGAUAAUAUCUUCUCUCUAUGCUGAGCAUGCUGCUGGCAAUGUGAAAGUUGGCAUUGACUUGGAGAAAGGUGCUUGCGAGGAUGCCUCAAUCAUGAAAAUAUGGGACCUCUAUGUUACAAAGUCCUUCGCUCUAAAAUACUCAGCAGAUGCUGUAUGUACUGUUUUACGGGUUGACCAGAUCAUCAUGGCAAAGCCAGCAGGAGGGCCGCGACCCCCCCAACAAGGUGGCAUGGAUGAAGACUAG
rnacentral:rRNA from 1 species